rnacentral:rRNA from 1 species
UGGGGAAUUUUGGACAAUGGGCGAAAGCCUGAUCCAGCAAUGCCGCGUGCAGGAUGAAGGCCUUCGGGUUGUAAACUGCUUUUGUACGGAACGAAAAAGCUUCUCCUAAUACGAGAGGCCCAUGACGGUACCGUAAGAAUAAGCACCGGCUAACUACGUGCCAGCAGCCGCGGUAAUACGUAGGGUGCGAGCGUUAAUCGGAAUUACUGGGCGUAAAGCGUGCGCAGGCGGUUAUGUAAGACAGAUGUGAAAUCCCCGGGCUCAACCUGGGAACUGCAUUUGUGACUGCAUGGCUAGAGUACGGUAGAGGGGGAUGGAAUUCCGCGUGUAGCAGUGAAAUGCGUAGAUAUGCGGAGGAACACCGAUGGCGAAGGCAAUCCCCUGGACCUGUACUGACGCUCAUGCACGAAAGCGUGGGGAGCAAACAGGAUUAGAUACCCUGGUAGUCCACGCCCUAAACGAUGUCAACUGGGUUGUUGGGAAUUAGUUUUCUCAGUAACGAAGCUAACGCGUGAAGUUGACCGCCUGGGGAGUACGGCC